GACCUCAUCACAUAUGAGACAACCUGAGGUAAAGCUUGUAUAGCAGUCUUCAAGCCAAUGGAAUAGUGUUUGGCGAACAGUGCAUGUUACUGCAAAUGGGAAUGACAUUCCGUACAUGUGCAGUAGCAGCUGGAGCAUGCCACAGCUUCACAGAGCUUGUUGGCUACAGAGAGGAAGAACUGACAGAUUUGAAAUAAAGAUGUCUAGGAUGACUUCAUGUAGGGCGUUACUGCUGGUUGUGGAACUGCAGCUAGACAUGAUGAUCUUACUGAAUUCAGGGCAGGUUAAGAAGAUUCAGCCCUAUCUGAUCAGCUUCCAUGACAGAACAGUUAUGGUCAUUUUCAUAUUCAUGACCAGGGCUUCAAAGCUUGCAGAAGAUAUGGUCUCUUGGGGUCAUUGGAUGUCUGCCCUGUGAAUCUUUGUAUUGUUUUCCCACAUUAAGAUGCUUAGCCCUGAAUGUAUAGUCCUAAAAUGAUCCAUUACCUGUAUCUUUAUGGAAACGAAGGAGGGAAAAGAAGAAUAUCUGGGUAAUCUCUGCACCUGAGGAAAAUCUAUGGCAGCUUGUGACUGCUGUAAUGAGCCCUGGGGCCACUGGCAGUUGGCAUCUUUCAGCUGCUGUGCCUUGUGCUGGAAGGCUGGACCACCACGAAGCAGCUCCAAGAAACCAUCCGUUCUCUUGAAGGUGGGAAGCAUCUUCCCACACUGUCAGAUUUGAAUAUUUAAUCUAGAGAGUGAACUUGAGUUGAAAUGCAACUCCUUUGGCAAAGGAAACUGCCUUUGAAGUUUUUGGAUCUGCAUUCCAUGUUUCCUGUUUUAAACUGAAAGAACAAAGCACUCUGGAAUAGUGCACUGUAAGCACCCUGUGAAAUCUGCAUGUCAGACAUCUGGCCAGCUGACAUGAGGAGCCAGACACAAGGAGGAGGUCCAGGGGCAUUUCAUUCAUCUUCCCAUCAAACAACCUGCCUCAGGUAUUGACUUGCUGGUAGGAAAUUUUGGCUAGACUGAUACCGAGAGGGCCAGAUGGAAGCGUCAUCCUUCAGCAUUGCUUGUUUUGCGUAACACUGGGAUUGGAACUACAUUUGAAUAGCACAUAGUCAUAGAUGUGUAAGUAUAUAAAUAUUUGGCUUUUCCAUCCAUGUAUUUUCUCUUCUAAUGUUUUGGUUUGGUUUUCUUCAAUGCAAGUUUUCUACAGGGAAAACUGUGACAAACAAGUAAAUGUUCUGCCUUGACAGAAGAGUCUUAAACAGGAAAAAAGGAUGAUUUUGGUCAAGAUUUGAGAGAGAAAAUGACACUCAAGUGGUAAGUUUCUAAGACAGCUGAUGACUUGACUUACCUUGGUUUCAGGGCACUGAUAACACUCCUGUUGGACUGAUCUGGAAUGAUGUGGGGUUGUUUUUUUCUUCUUCGGAAGCUUUAUUUUAAGCUCUCCUACAAUCUGAACUUUGAUUUUCAGUUGUAUUUAUGGAUUUGUUCUCUGCUGUCAGACUGCAAUCAAUUGACUGAAAUCCAUAAAUAAUAAACGUCAAGUUUCAAUUUAAUGCAGUAACAAGAUGCUAUUGGAAGAAGUUUUCCAUACUUGAAUGGCUUUUUAUAGCCAAAUCCUGACACGUUCCUAGUGAUAGGAAGCUAAUGGCUUUCCCGCAUGUUUGUGAAGCCCAUGUGACAAAUCCUAUACGGUAACUGAAGGAGAGGACACUCGUGCACCUGUUUGUGGAA